UACCCUACGGGGGGCAGCAGUCGGGAAUAUUGCGCAAUGGAGGAAACUCUGACGCAGUGACGCCGCGUAUAGGAAGAAGGUUUUCGGAUUGUAAACUAUUGUCAUCAGGGAAGAUAAAUGACGGUACCUGACUAAGAAGCCCCGGCUAAAUACGUGCCAGCAGCCGCGGUAAUACGUAUGGGGCAAGCGUUAUCCGGAUUUACUGGGUGUAAAGGGAGCGUAGGCGGCCUGGCAAGCCUGAUGUGAAAUACCGGGGCCCAACCCCGGGGCUGCAUUGGGAACUGCCAGGCUGGAGUGCCGGAGAG
rnacentral:rRNA from 1 species